AUUGAACGCUGGCGGCAGGCUUAACACAUGCAAGUCGAGCGCCCCGCAAGGGGAGCGGCAGACGGGUGAGUAACACGUGGGAAUCUACCCAUCCCUACGGAACAACUCCGGGAAACUGGAGCUAAUACCGUAUACGCCCUUCGGGGGACAGAUUUAUCGGGGAUGGAUGAGCCCGCGUUGGAUUAGCUAGUUGGUGGGGUAAAGGCCUACCAAGGCGACGAUCCAUAGCUGGUCUGAGAGGAUGAUCAGCCACAUUGGGACUGAGACACGGCCCAAACUCCUACGGGAGGCAGCAGUGGGGAAUAUUGGACAAUGGGCGCAAGCCUGAUCCAGCCAUGCCGCGUGAAUGAUGAAGGCCUUAGGGUUGUAAAGUUCUUUCACCGAUGAAGAUAAUGACGGUAGUCGGAGAAGAAGCCCCGGCUAACUUCGUGCCAGCCGCCGCCGUAAGAC
rnacentral:rRNA from 1 species